GGGCGCUUCCCCCAGCGCCCGGCACAGCCCGGACCCAGGUGUAAAGUCGGGCAUCUGCGCAGUAAACAUCUGGCCUCAGAGCUGUCCUCCGCGCCUUGGCUGCCGCAGCCAGGGGAAGGAUAUGCGGAGGGCUCUAAGUCAAAGCGGGCGUUUUUGCGGGUGUAGCCACUGCCGCGCCUGGGCCUGCAGCCCCUCCCUCCCUGUCUCCUGUUAGGAGGGGCAGAUUUUCAGGUGGCCGGGACAGGUGAAGGCAGAGAGGAGUGGCUGUCCACCUGGGGAAGCAUCCCGAAAACAUCACACACAGUGGACCACGCUUUGCCCUCAGAGUGACUGCUCUGACCCGGAAGGAGAGGUCAACGACCCCUCAGGACACAAAGGGUUUCUUAGGUUGUUCUGCACAGUCACAUGGCUUCCAGAACCAGAACGUUCAGCUCUUAAAGUCUGCACAGAAGAACUGAUAGAAUCUGCUCCUUUCAAUGGAAUCUGUGACUGUUUGGGAAGGAUGUGCAUGGAGAAGGGCCUGAUGAGGCUCCUGAUCCAGGCGGUCCAUGUGCGUUCAGUGUGUUCGGACCCUAGGCACCUCUGUCUAUUGCUUGGUCUUGCGUACAUAGUCCAUAGCUUGGCAUCAGCACAAAUCGAUGCUUAGUGAGCACAAUUAAGAAACCAAACUAUGGAAAAUUAAGGACAGUAACAAAAGUAUCAUCAACAAAAAUCAAGCAUUUUCCUCUUUUUGAAACAAGAAAAGCGCAUCGUAGAAACAAAGAUUCUGUACAAUAUUCUAACAUUAUAUGUACAUAAAAUUAUAUUACUCAUAACUAUAUUGAAAAGUCUUAUUUGUAGAAUAUGGCUGGCAACAAAGAAAGACCCAAACCAUUUAGCUUUUGAAGCAGGGCAGGUAGCAAGAGAACAUUAGCAAAGACACCUUUGUGCCUGGAUACACAAUCCUGCUACUAAGUUAUGUGACUAACCAGCACACUCUAAGUUCUGUGGUUUGUUCGUUGUUUCACAUUCUAGUAGGGAAUUCUGCAGCAGGCGAUGCGAAAAAGAAGACAUGGUCAAAUGAAAUGUGAAAUGCUGUUUAAAAUCUGCAUAUUGGCUAUGAUAAUGGGUUUGUGAAUCCAAGUUGCAUUGGAAGUUCACUCAUUCUCCAUUCAUUAUGCAUGCCUCCAGUGAUUUAAUGAAUUUCAGCAGGUGGAAAAGACAGCUUUGAACAGAUCAGAUGGGCUGUGAGUCAGAUUCUUGAUUCUUUUUCCUCAUUUGGCUCCUGAAUGUUGCAGAAAACUGGUUUUGUACAGUGGGGAAGGAGAGAGUGAAGACCCUCCAGUUGGUUCCUCAGUCAGCUCCGUUCUUGGUGUCGCUUUCUUGCAAUUUUUUUCCUCCCCCGGCCCUUCCUGUGAGGGUUAAAAGGGCCAUCUCCAAGCCAGGUGGAGCCCCAAUCCCAUUGACCAAGAGGGCAAGGUAUGGGGUCACCUUCUCAUGGAAGCCCUCUUCCUAACGGAGCCCAAAGGGGACACCUGCAGAGGGGGGGCUGUGAUCUGUGUGUGAACUUCAACAAAAUCUCAGGUUAGUAUUUCUCGAAUUUCAGUUGAACCACGAUGUGGUAUACACUACAAAUGCAGAUUCUGGUGCCCCCUCCAAGAGUCGGCCUCAGUUAAAAAGGGCUCAGAUCCAGGAACCUGUUCUGAACACGCACCCAGGCAAUUCUGAUGCAGGCAAGCCACAGGCCCGCUGUGAAAAAAAACUGACUUAAUACAUCAAGUAUAGAUCUACAAAUUAUUUUUAGAGAGAUUUGAAAAACUGAAGAUUUUAAUGAAACAUUGCAUAGCACAGAUUCUCUUCCCAAAUUUCACCAAUGUAUUCCUUUCAAAAUGUGGAAUUAAAUGGCCAAAACUCUUAGGGAGAUGAAGGUGAGUGGGAAGGAGGGGGUUAAUUUAAAAUCUGUCUGCUUCUCAAGGUGAGGGGCUCUUCUGGAUGUCUGGUCUUGGUGAUGCAAACAAGACCAAUGGCAACCUCAUUUUCUUACCCAGAAUUCCUACUAAGGUUCACUAGAAUUACUUAUGAACUCAGAAAUCAGGGCUGGGCAUGCUGGGAAUUUAUGUCACAGCAUAUAAUUUGGGAUACGUCAGUAACUCUUCACUAUCUGUUUCCAUCAUGGCAAGUUUUCACCUGCUAAGAAUGUGAGGUAUCAGCUCUCCUACUCGCAAAAGCCCUAGUGGAUUACCCAAGGCUACGGUUAUUCUUCCCUGAACCUCCUUGCUAUUUAAAUGAUAUGAGAAUCUAAAACAGUGCCCAGUGUAGGCAGCCUUCUACCACCAGCUAAAAACAUUCCCAGUUCCCACUGAAUCACCACUUUUAAUCACAUGAUGAGGAAAAGAAAUUAACUGCAGAUGGGUGGCAUUUUAUAUUGAUGGCCAUCCAAAAAAUUUAGAAAGACAAGUCUCAGAUGAAGAUCUCCUCCUGGUUCAAAGAUCUCAUUUUAAAUCUAGAAAGACAGCAAUAGGGCAUCCUAAAUUCUACAUAACGGAGAUCUGUUCAAAGCAGCGCAACCACUGCUGCAGAAAUGUACUGAUUCCCUUCUCCGUGGCCGUUUCACCACUUUUGUACCUAUGAAAACUAGCUGCUCCUCCAGGAUCCUUUAAUUUUCUAUGCCUAAACCUUAAUCUUAAUUUCUGUUUUUCUGACUCCAGUGUGCCCUCAAAAGUCACUAAUUAUUUCUAGCCCUGAUUGUUCUCAUCUUCCCUGCUGAAAUUCACACGGGCAAUGGUGAGGGUCAAGGUUAGGGAAAGAACAGUCAAGGUUGAGGUCAGCAGAUGCAGAUAAGUUGAGUCCAAGGGGACAGGCAGCGGGGCGGGAGGGUUAGUAAUUUAAGAAGUCGAUCCCAACUUUGACACUCUUCGAAGUGGCUAUAUCAAUGGCUGUGGCUUUGAUCUCGGUGUCCCCGAACUGCAUAAGGGUCUGGAUCUCCCUCCGGGCGGGCACCGCAGUGCCACUGGUCCCUGUGAGAUCCAGGCGGAGCGUGCCACACUUCUUCACCCCGGGAUCAGUGAUGAAGCUGACGUUGUCAUGCUCAGAGCUGUAGAUGUUGAUGACAAUGACCAGCUGGGAGGGCUUGGCCGGGGUGUAGCUACGCUUGACCAGCUCACCCAGAGCCACAGACUGGUCGGCAGAGAUGAACUUGUCAAAGACGUCAGUGCACCACCGAGUGCCAUCCUUC
rnacentral:lncRNA from 1 species